GCCUGCGGCCCUUGUAGAUGUCCACGACGCGCUUGGUGUAGAUGGGGAAGCGCUUGUAGGGGUUGAUGGCCACGCAGAACAGGCCCGAGUACGUCUGUUGUACGCAGAGGAAAGGAAGGACGCGAACAGAGACGUCGCGUCAGCCACGUCGUGCGCCAUGCCUGGCUUCGCCGCGGGUUCUGGCGUCGCUCGUCAGCGGACGCGUAACAUUUAUCAGCCCGCCCUAACGGCCGCCAAACGCAGCUGCUCCGACGCUUCGAGGUAAUCACGUGGCCCGUAUCUCUUGACGGCGCGUUUGAGCGUUUAUUGCUCUUUUUCUUUUCUUUUGCAUCGUGACCGACAUGCGUCUCACCACAUGUGCUCGUGCGCCUUUCUCCUCUACUCCUGCUCGCGCUAGGAGCUCUUAACACGCACUCUUGCGUUUCAUCGGUGAAAGUUAAAAAAAAACAAAACAAUACAACCAAACUUGCGGAGCAGUUUCUAAGCAACCGGGUCGUUCUUGAUGGCUUUUAUUCAGGCCAGUCUUAUCCUUUCCUUAAUAAAGAUUUUUUCAUUCAUUCAUUAGGCGAGCGUCGUGCGCUGCCUGUAAGAAACGGCCCUGCACAUCUACGGACUCUGGCGACGCGGUGCAUAGGGAGGCUGAGAGGACUGAUCCUUGCGGGUUGAAACGCCGGAACUUACGAAGAAGGGUGCUUCAGCAGCAUGGUAAAUAAACAUCUUGAAGGGGCAGCGCAAAAAGACGAUGACAGAAGGCAGGAACACACAGGACAGCGCUGACUCGCCCAAAUGUCGAUCCUUCUAUGGUAAAUAAAUAUUGUUACUCUCUGUAAAA